rnacentral:tRNA from 2 species
GCGCCAGUAGCUCAGCUGGAUAGAGCAACGGCCUUCUAAGCCGUAGGUCAUAGGUUCGAGUCCUAUCUGGCGCG